rnacentral:sRNA from 1 species
GGGGAUGCACUGGUUUCGACUGCGACAGUUGUAUUGUCUUUUGCAUGCCGUGCCUAAGCUAUGCACGUAAAUCUUGGCUUAAAACAAUAAGUGCAAACAAUGAAUAUGCACUCGUAGCUUAAUUAAAUAAGUUACUGUCUUUGUUAAGGUUUUUUCAUGGACUUUCUCAAGGGCACAAAAACAAACAUGAAACGUUAUAACGGUACUAUUCGAGCCUUUAUAAUGUAUAUUCGAAUGUAGUUCUGUCGAUUUUUUGCUUAUUUUAUACCGAUAGAGCGAAAUAAUUUAAAAUAGGAUAAGCAUGUAGCAUAUAGUCAAUGCUCUUCGUAGGACGCGGGUUCGAUUCCCGCCAUCUCCA